GUGAAGGAAGCGACCUCUUUGUGACGUCUGCGACCUCUUUGUGACGUCGGCCCUUGCCGGUGCCCCGCACAGCAGCCAGCAGCUCCCAGCCCAGGCAGGAGGUGCACUGGCCUCCCGGCGGCCUUUUGAGGCCUAAGAGCUCCAAGCCCUGCCCUUCGUGCCCUCUGCACUAGACGCGUGGCCACAGCCGACAGUGGAUACCUCAUGGCGACUCAGAGUCCUCUCUUUAACCUCUCAGCUACCUUCUUCUCAUGACGUUUUCUCGGGUCUCACUCUGUCACCCUGGCUGGAAGGCAGUGGUGUGAUCAUAGCUCACUGCAGCCUUGGCCUCCUGGGCUCAAGCAAUGCCUCUGCUUCAACCUCCCAAGUAGCUGGAAUUACAGGAUUUCUACUUAUAAGCCAGACAAACACACUACAAGAAAACUACAGAUCAAUAUCCCUUGUGAAUAUAGAUGCAAAAAUCUCUAACAAAAUACUACCAGACAAAACUCAGCAUAUUAAAAGGAUUGAUUACGUAACAGGACCAAGUAGGAUUUAUUCCUGGAAUGGAAAGAUAGUUCAACAAUAAAAAUUAAUGAAGAAAAAAACUACAUGAUUAUCUCAGUUGAUGCAGAAAAAGCAUAUGAAAAACAUUAAUAUCUUUUAAUGGAACACAUACUCAAUAUAGGAGAAACAGAAAGAAACUUCCUCAAAAUGAUAGGGCCAUGACAAAAACCCACAGCUUGUAUCAUAGGACAUGAUGAAAGAUUGAAAACUUUUUCCCCUUAAGUGAGGAAUAAGACAAAGGUGCCUGCUUUUGCCACUUUUAUUUAGAAUCAUUCUAGAAGUUCUAGCCAGACCAGUGAGGCAAGAAUAAUAAAUACAAUAAUCCAAGGUGAAAAAAGAUGGCAUGAACUCUAUUAUUUCUUAUGACUGCAUGUGAAUUUAUAAUUAUUUCAAAAUAAAAAAUUAUUUUUUAAAAAAGGUCUAUGGGCCAUGUGAGCCUCCAGUAAAAACAAAAACAGGCUUUUCUGUUAAAAAUAAAAUUAAUUGGCAGGGCACGGUGGCUCACACCUGUAAUCCCAGCGCUUUGGGAGGCCGAGGUGGGCGAAUCACAAGGUCAGGAGUUUGAAACCAGCCUGACCAACAUGGUGAAACCCCAUGUCUACUAAAAAUACAAAAAUUAUGGGCGUGGUGGCACACACCUGUAAUCCAAGAUACUUAGUAGGCUGAGGCAGGAGAAUCGCUUGAACCCAGGAGGCAGAGUUUGCAAUGAGCCAAGAUCGAGAUCGUGCCAUUGCACUCCAUCCUGGGUGACAGAGUGAGACUCUGUCUCAAAAAAUAAAAAUAAAAAAUAAAAUUAAAUUAAUCACACCUGUAAUCCCAGCACUUUGGGAGGCCAAGGCGGGCAGAUCGCCUGAGCUCAGGAGUUCGAGACCAGCCUGGGCAACAUGGUGAAACCCCAUCUCUACUAAUUACAAA
rnacentral:lncRNA from 1 species